rnacentral:tRNA from 1 species
GAGGGUAUAGCUCCAAGUGGUAGAGCCCAGGCUUAUCAUGCACAAGGUCCUGGGUUCAACCCCCAGUACCUUCU